AAGAAGAUACUAAGGGCGCACGGCGGAUGCCUUGGCACAGGAAGUCGAAGAAGGACGCGGCAAGCUGCGAUAAGCUCCGGGGAGGCGCAAACGGCCUUCGAUCCGGAGAUCUCCGAAUGGGGGAACCCAGCAGGGGUCAUGCCCUGCUACCCGCGCCUGAAUGAAAUAGGGCGCGAGGAGGCAACCCGGGGAACUGAAACAUCUAAGUACCCGGAGGAAGAGAAAUCAACCGAGAUUGCGGGAGUAGCGGCGAGCGAAACCGCACCAGCCCAAACCCAUGCACGUGCAAGCUUGAGGGCGUUGCUGCAUGAGGGGUUGUGGGACCGCGCAUUCCAUGGGCCUCAGACCAUGGACGCAGUUACAAAUCCGCGCGGAAGCGGAACGGCCUGGGAAGGCCGGCGGAACAGGGUGAGAGCCCCGUACGCGAAUCCGCGCGGACUGCGAGUGCGGCGCCCGAGUAGCGCCGGGCACGUGAAACCCGGUGCGAACCUGGGGGGACCACCCUCCAAGGCUGAACACUCUCCUGUGACCGAUAGCGAACCAGUACCGUGAGGGAAAGGUGAAAAGCACCCCGAGAGGGGAGUGAAACAGUACCUGAAACCGUGCGCCUACAAGCAGUCGGAGCCCCCGAGCGGGGUGACGGCGUGCCUUUUGUAGAAUGAGCCAGCGAGUUGCGGUAUGCGGCGAGGUUAAGGUUUGAACCGAGCCGCAGUGAAAGCGAGCCUUUAAGAUGGCGUAUGAGUCGCAUGCUGCAGACGCGAAGCCGGGUGAGCUAUCCAUGGGCAGGCUGAAGCGGGGGUAAGACCCCGUGGAGGGCCGAACCCACUUCGGUUGAAAACGGAGGGGAUGACCCGUGGAUAGGGGUGAAAGGCCAAUCAAACCCGGAGAUAUCUCGUUCUCCCCGAAAUAGCUUUAGGGCUAGCCUCGGCCGUUCUCCGACGGCGGUAGAGCACUGGAUCGUCGAGGGGGCUUCACCGCCUACCGACACGAACCAAACUCCGAAUGCCGCCGGAUCAGAGGCCGGGAGUCAGAACAUGUGGGCUAAGCUGUGUGUUCGAGAGGGAAACAGCCCAGACCGCCCGCUAAGGUCCCCAAAUCCAUGCUGAGUGGCAAAGGAUGUGCGUUUGCCUAGACAACCAGGAUGUUGGCUUAGAAGCAGCCAUGCAUUUAAAGAGUGCGUAACAGCUCACUGGUCAAGUGGACAUGCGCCGACAAUUCACGGGGCUAAGCAUGGUACCGAAGCGGCGGACUAAUCUAUAUUAGUGGUAGGGGAGCUUUCCCCGCAGCGGAGAAGCCGAGAGGGCGACCCUCGGUGGAGCGCGGGGAAGUGAGAAUGCUGGCAUGAGUAACGAGAGCGGCGCGAGAAACGCCGCCGCCGUAAGCCUAAGGGUUCCUGGGCAAGGCUAAUCCUCCCAGGGUCAGUCGGGAGCUAAGGCGAGGCCGAGAGGCGUAGCCGAUGCGCAACAGGCGGACAUUCCUGUACCGCCUGCGGACCGCUAUCACCGACGGGGUGACGGAGAAGGGUAGCCGAGCGGGGUUCUGGACGUCCCCGUGAAAGCGCGUAGGGAGCAUCGCAUGGAAAUCAGCGGCGCACGUAUCCUGAGACGCGAGACGAAAGCUUAUGCUGAAGUCGGCGAGCCCAUGCUUCCGAGAAAAACCUCUAGGAAGGGACGCAGGCGCCCGUACCAAAACCGACACAGGUGGGCAGGUAGAGCAUACCGAGGCGAUCGGGAGAACCAUGGUUAAGGAACUCGGCAUACUGACUCCGUAACUUCGGGAGAAGGAGUGCCCCUGGCGGUGACGGGACUAGCUCCCCGAGCGGCCGGGGGUCGCAGCGAAACGGCCCAAGCGACUGUUUAUCAAAAACACAGGACUCUGCAAAGCCGUAAGGCGACGUAUAGGGUCUGACGCCUGCCCGGUGCUGGAAGGUUACGCGGAUGGGUCAGCCGCAAGGCGAAGCUCUGAAGCCAAGCCCC
rnacentral:rRNA from 1 species